rnacentral:rRNA from 1 species
GACGAACGCUGGCGGCGUGCUUAACACAUGCAAGUCGAGCGGUAAGGCCUUUCGGGGUACACGAGCGGCGAACGGGUGAGUAACACGUGGGUGAUCUGCCCUGCACUUCGGGAUAAGCCUGGGAAACUGGGUCUAAUACCGGAUAUGACCUCCUAUCGCAUGGUGGGUGGUGGAAAGAUUUAUCGGUGCAGGAUGGGCCCGCGGCCUAUCAGCUUGUUGGUGGGGUAAUGGCCUACCAAGGCGACGACGGGUAGCCGACCUGAGAGGGUGACCGGCCACACUGGGACUGAGACACGGCCCAGACUCCUACGGGAGGCAGCAGUGGGGAAUAUUGCACAAUGGGCGAAAGCCUGAUGCAGCGACGCCGCGUGAGGGAUGACGGCCUUCGGGUUGUAAACCUCUUUCAGCAGGGACGAA